AUUGAACGCUGGCGGCAGGCCUAACACAUGCAAGUCGAGCGGUAGAGAGGUGCUUGCAUCUCUUGAGAGCGGCGGACGGGUGAGUAAUGCCUAGGAAUCUGCCUAGUGGUGGGGGAUAACGUUCGGAAACGGACGCUAAUACCGCAUACGUCCUACGGGAGAAAGCGGGGGAUCUUCGGACCUCGCGCCAUUAGAUGAGCCUAGGUCGGAUUAGCUAGUUGGUGAGGUAAUGGCUCACCAAGGCGACGAUCCGUAACUGGUCUGAGAGGAUGAUCAGUCACACUGGAACUGAGACACGGUCCAGACUCCUACGGGAGGCAGCAGUGGGGAAUAUUGGACAAUGGGCGAAAGCCUGAUCCAGCCAUGCCGCGUGUGUGAAGAAGGUCUUCGGAUUGUAAAGCACUUUAAGUUGGGAGGAAGGGUAGGUAACCUAAUACGUUGCUACUUUGACGUUACCGACAGAAUAAGACACCGGCUAACUUACGUGCCAG
rnacentral:rRNA from 1 species